rnacentral:rRNA from 1 species
GACGAACGCUGGCGGCGUGCCUAAUACAUGCAAGUCGAGCGGAUGACGGAGGAGCUUGCUCCUCUAGAUUCAGCGGCGGACGGGUGAGUAACACGUGGGCAACCUGCCCUGUAGAUUGGGAUAACUCCGGGAAACCGGGGCUAAUACCGAAUAAUCCUUCGGACCACAUGGUCCGAUGUUGAAAGACGGCAUCUCGCUGUCACUACAGGAUGGGCCCGCGGCGCAUUAGCUAGUUGGUGAGGUAACGGCUCACCAAGGCCACGAUGCGUAGCCGACCUGAGAGGGUGAUCGGCCACACUGGGACUGAGACACGGCCCAGACUCCUACGGGAGGCAGCAGUAGGGAAUCUUCCACAAUGGACGAAAGUCUGAUGGAGCAACGCCGCGUGAGUGAAGAAGGUUCUCGGAUCGUAAAACUCUGUUGUGAGGGAAGAACAAGUACCGGAGUAACUGCCGGUGCCUUGACGGUACCUCAUUAGAAAGCCACGGCUAACUACGUGCCAGCAGCCGCCGUAAGAC